rfam:Sorghum bicolor cultivar BTx623 chromosome 2, whole genome shotgun sequence.
GUAGUCAGAUUUUGUAUCAAUUCGUAUGUGUUGGUGUGGAUUAGGGUAGAAUUUAGUUCAAGUUUUAUUCCAAUCCAUUCCAACACAUGUGGAUUGAUACAAAAUCUGACU